CCUACAGGGAGCUUGCCCAACUCCAGGGCACUCUGAGUGUGCUCUCCAUACAAAGUGCUGUAUGACCUCGGGGAGUGAGGAACUUGAAAAAAAUGCACACACCUAGCAGUGGAGCUGCAGGGUUACAGGGCGGGCAUAACCUGAGCCUUAGAGGAUCCUGCAAGACGGUUCUGCAGAGUGGUCAAGCCAAUUGAUAUCCCCACCAGCAUUUUAACCUCAAAUAUCUUCCCUGGCUGCCCCAAAACCUGGGCACCAGGACCAAAUGAGGCAAAGCCUCAUGGAUUCCUGGCAUAUUGUGACAGUAGCCUUCAAAGGAAAAGGGUUGCCAGGGUGAUCACACCCAGAGGAAAAACUAAUGUCUGAAAAUAGAAACCACAGUCUUCCAAAUGCAAAGAAAAAGGUUUCAUUUCAAAAUAAAAAUUGUCCCAGUGAAUUA